rnacentral:rRNA from 1 species
AAUGAACGUUGGCGGCGUGGAUUAGGCAUGCAAGUCGAGCGAGAACCGGUUUCGGCCGGGGACAGCGGCGAACGGCGUAGUAAUGCAUCGGAACGUACCCUCUGGUCGGGGAUAGCUACGGGAAACUGUAGGUAAUACCCGAUGAUCUCUGCGGAGCAAAGGUGAGAUUCCGCCGGAGGAGCGGCUGAUGUGAUAUUAGCUAGUUGGUGGGGCAAUGGCCUACCAAGGCGAUGAUGUCUAGGGGGUGUGAGAGCAUGGCCCCCACGACCGGAACUGAGAUACUGUCCGGACACCUACGGGUGGCUGCAGUCGAGAAUCUUCCGCAAUGGACGAAAGUCUGACGGAGCGACGCCGCGUGCGGGAUGAAGGCCCUUGGGUUGUAAACCGCUGUCAGAGGGGAUGAAAUCUUCGGAGGUACUCCUCCGAAGUUGACAGAGCCUCAAAGGAAGCACGGGCUAAGUACGUGCCAGCCGCCGCGGUAAAAC